rnacentral:rRNA from 1 species
GUGUCAGCCGCCGCGGUAAUACAGAGGGUGCAAACGUUGCUCGGAAUCAUUGGGCGUAAAGCGCACGUAGGCGGCCUGAUAAGUCGGUAGUGAAAGCCCUCGGCUUAACCGAGGAAGUGCUAUCGAAACUGCCAGGCUUGAAUACCGGAGAGGAUCGCGGAAUUCCCGGUGUAGAGGUGAAAUUCGUAGAUAUCGGGAGGAACACCAGUGGCGAAGGCGGCGAUCUGGACGGAUAUUGACGCUGAGGUGCGAAAGCGUGGGGAGCAAACAGGAUUAGAUACCCUCGUAGUCC